rnacentral:rRNA from 1 species
GACGAACGCUGGCGGCGUGCUUAACACAUGCAAGUCGAACGGGAUUUUGAGAAGCUUGCUUCUUGAGAUUCAGUGGCAAACGGGUGAGUAACGCGUAAACAACCUGCCUUCAGGAUGGGGACAACAGACGGAAACGACUGCUAAUACCGAAUACAUUCCUGGUUCCGCAUGGGAUAAGGACGAAAGGAUGGCCUCUCGAAGAAGCUAUCGCCUGACGAGGGGUUUGCGUCUGAUUAGGCAGUUGGCGGGGUAACGGCCCACCAAACCAACGAUCAGUAGCCGGUCUGAGAGGAUGAACGGCCACACUGGAACUGAGACACGGUCCAGACUCCUACGGGAGGCAGCAGUGGGGAAUCUUCCACAAUGGGCGAAAGCCUGAUGGAGCAACGCCGCGUGAGUGAUGAAGGCCUUCGGGUUGUAAAGCUCUGUUAUUCGGGACGAAAGAGCGCAUGGCUAAUAUCCAUGCAAAGUGACGGUACCGAAAGAGAAAGCCACGGCUAACUACGUGCCAGCCGCCGCAGUAA